UACGGGGGGGGCAAGCGUUGUUCGGAAUUACUGGGCGUAAAGGGCUUGUAGGCGGCCAACUAAGUCAGACGUGAAAUCCCUCGGCUUAACCGGGGAACUGCGUCUGAUACUGGAUGGCUUGAGAUUGGGAGAGGGAUGCGGAAUUCCAGGUGUAGCGGUGAAAUGCGUAGAUAUCUGGAGGAACACCGGUGGCGAAGGCGGCAUCCUGGACCAAUAUUGACGCUGAGGAGCGAAAGCCAGGGGAGCAAACGGG
rnacentral:rRNA from 1 species